rnacentral:tRNA from 4 species
GCCCGGGUGGUCUAGUGGUAUGAUUCUCGCUUAGGGAUAUAACCCAAGCAUAUCUGCGAGAGGUCCCGCGUUCGAUCCGCGGCUCGGGCC